GGAUUUUAAAAUGGGGAUACCUAUGCAGAAACAGUGGGACCUGAGAGCGUCUUUCACGCAGCAGAACCAAGCCAUCUGAUUUUGAAGGCCUUAAACUGUGUUACCUCUGGAUAGGUAUGUUGGAGCACUGCUGGACUUUGCAGAACAGCGCAGGAACGCCAAGCGCACCACACAUAUGCCUGUGUGUGAACUCGCUGCUGAAAAGUUGUUAUCAGAGGGCAACCAGGAAGAGUGAAAAGUUGGAGGGAUCUCAGGAGCUCCUUGACAUUGAGCACCGUCAGAAGCAGAAAGGAGUUCAGCGCCUUGGAGCAGUGUGGUGGGGGCAAAUGAAGCAACCCCUGCAAAGAUGCGCAGCAGGUCAGCGGCUCAGCUGGGAAGACACCUACAUCCUCCAGGCUUUGUCUCGGCCAACAGCUCAGAUCCUCCGCAGGAGCCGUGUUUGUAAAGAAGCAGCGUGCAGGAGCUGGAUGGGACGAAGCAGCGUGCCGAAGUCCUGCGUGAGCUGAAGCAGCUGAAGGGCUUCGUAUGCAUGUCAGCGAUGAUACGUAAACUCGCAGCCAAGCAAUGAAUCGUACGUCUACCUUUCUAGCACCAUCAUUUUUCGAUUAUAUCCCAUGCAGUAAGUGAGACUUGCAGAGCCUAAGUCAGAACACAUCAUUUCCUGCCUUUUUUCUGUCCUGAUGCUUUUUGCACCUUCUGCAGAGGAAAAGGAAGUGUAAAACACUCAUGAAAUGAAGUCACUUCAAAGGGACUGGGGAAUAAAUUGCUUGCGAAGUGAGUGCUUUUGUCA
rnacentral:lncRNA from 1 species